rnacentral:rRNA from 1 species
UACGUAGGGUGCGAGCGUUGCCCCGGAUUUAUUGGGCGUAAAGAGCUCGUAGGCGGCUUGUCGCGUCGAAUGUGAAAACUCGGGGCUCAACUCCGAGCUUGCAUUCGAUACGGGCAGGCUAGAGUUCGGUAGGGGAGACUGGAAUUCCUGGUGUAGCGGUGAAAUGCGCAGAUAUCAGGAGGAACACCGGUGGCGAAGGCGGGUCUCUGGGCCGUAACUGACGCUGAGGAGCGAAAGCAUGGGGAGCGAACAGG